UUAAAAUUUUCUUUUUAAAUCUAGGUGCUGUGCAUGUGGCUGUGCAUUAGACUUUUUCUAAAGGCUGUAAGUUUUCACCACGGAGGGAAGAGAAACACUACGUGUGAGAGAUUAAAGAGUACUUCUUGUACAUUCCUAUAUGUUUGCUUUAAACACCUUCUCAUUAGGAUUCGAUACAUAUAAAAUAAUGUCGGUAGCACAUAGAAAGAGGCAUUGUGAGAUCAUGGACGACCUCAAAGCCGCUGCUGACCCCGCCAGUUCUCUCAGCCCCUCGGAGGUGGUCAGUGCCUCAAUUUUGUGUUUAUCGUUCCUUUGCUUUAACUCUUAAUUCAGGUGUCACUGAUCCGCAGUUAGUGCGCUCAUCUUUUUACUUUUUUAUUUUUUUUAAUGUUUAUUUACUUUUGAAAGAGAGAGAGACACACACAGCGUGAGUGCAGGAGGGGCAAAGAGAGGGGGAGACACAGAAUCCGAAGCGGGCUCCAGGCUCCGAGCUGUCAGCACAGAGCCCGACGCAGGACUGGAACUCACAGACCAUGAGAUCAUGACCUGGGCUGAAGUCGGAUGCUUUAACCAACGGAGCCCCCUAGGCGCCCCAGUGCAAUGAUCCUAAGGAUAAUUUCACAGACGUGUUCAGUGUAACCAGUGCUCUCUGCAAGACGCAGGGUUUUCCCGGACCCCAGAAGCUCUUGGGUGCCCUCAUCCCUCCCUGCCAGAGAACUAUCAUGGCCUCUUUCUGUGUAGGUGAGGGUUACCUGCUCUUGGGCUUUGGAAAAGUGGGUCGUACGGAGCCCACUGUGCCUGGCGCCUUCCAGAGAGCAUCACGUCUGUCAGAUGCACCCACGAAGUCGUGUCACUCGCUGGCUGCCGCAAAGCAACGCUCGCCUCUGUGAGUCAUGGUUUUCCCUGUUUUGACCGUCUUGUAACGAGAGCACAUGUGGCCUUCCGCGCGCUCUCCUCAUGGCACGUGGUGUGGACGAGCCCCGUGUCUGCCGCCUCCCAUGGCGGCUCGUCAGCCGGGCACCUCCUGUCUCCUCUUCUGUGACGCGUCUACUGUGUCCCGGCCCGCCAGGCCACGAUGGAGGAGAUCGCCUGGAACACGCCUGGAAUGGAGUGGGUGCUAGGCAAACAGCUGCGCGGUGAAUGGACGUGCGGAGGUGUGUCUGCCGGACGCACGCGGCCAACACUUCUUGAGGCCUCAGGACCUUUGCUCGGCACCAGGCGGGUAGGAGAGGAAAGCUGAAGGGGCCCUGGGCUGCCAGACGUCUCCAACUCGGGGAGGGGAGGGCAAGGAUGGAAGUCCGGUCCUUCUCAUGUCUGUCCUCCCCUCUCCUUGUCCUUCUGUCCUGCCCAGAGUGGAAGCCCACAGGCCACUCACAAUGGCCCCUUGACGUGCAUUUGGAAGAGGAGGCUGGACAUCGAAGCCCCUGUUUGGGGUGUGUUGGAGGUGACUGGCCCCUGUGCUGUGCGGGAGGUCCUCCUUGCCGGGCUGCUCACCGUGUCCGUGGGUCCGUGUGCUCGGGUUGUUCUGACCGUGGCACCUGGGGAGGACGGUCCUGGGUCGUCCCUCAGCCCGGUUUCACCCUGCGGACCGAGUGCAGGGCUGCGCGAGACAACACCGGAGUCUGGCCCAGAGAACUGCUUAGCGGAUGCCCUGCUUUCCAAACCCCGAGCGCGUGCUCCACCCUGCCCCCGCCGAAAGCCCCUUUGCAUCUCCUCUCUGGUUCCCCCGCUGGCAAGUGCUAACUUUGGCACGUGGUCCAGAUCAACCUGCGGGAGACGUGGCUUUCACGGGGGUGGCGGCCGAGCCCCCGUCCAGCCCCGGCCCAGCCCCGCUGCCGAGUCCACACCCGGACAGCCCUGGACUGACCCGGGACAGGGCCCAUCUCCUCCUCCCUGCUCCUCCCUGGACCAAGGCAGGCCUGCAGGCCCGGGGUCUCAGACCCACUGCCUCAGGAGCUCGGCAGGGGCCUGUGUAGGACCAGGAGGAGCACGGGGACUGCAGAAGCCACUUUAGGCACAUUUGCGCUUUUGAGCACCUGGUGCCGAUGCGUCCAGGACGGGGGUGGGGGUGCGACUCCUCUGCUCCAGCCUGGGGGCCACACCGGGGACCCCACCCCCCCACCCCAGGCACAGCCACCGGGGCAGCAGGUGGGGAGGGGACGGGGAGGGGGCUCACGGAGUGGGUGAGGAAACACCCCCGCGCACGAACCCCCAGGGGAGGGAAACUGGGGUCUCAGCGAGAAUGUGUGCAGAAUGUUCACGUCCACGGCCGCUCGCUCUCCGUGGCCAAAAGGAGGGACCCCCCUCCCCCCAACAUCGCUGUCCGUCCACGGAUGAACAGAGAAACAAAACGUGGCACAGCCCCACGAGGAACAAGGAACGGACUCUGACUCUCUCUGCAGCACCUGGAAAGACACAUCACGUGGCAGCAGCAGACACGAAACACCUGCUGUCGUGUGUCUCUGAGCCCAGACACCUGGAGGGAGCAAGUGCACGGGGGACCUGCGGGAACGGGAACGGGUGGCUCAGGACCGGGUCAGGGCACCCAGCGUCCCCGCACGACACCAGCCCGGGACGUGCAGAUGUGCACAGAGGUGCCGGUGCCCGAGAAGCAAGCCUCACGAUAAAUCCGUGCACUGCGUGGACCAUCGCAGGGACCUGCCAGUGUCCUUGCCCGUGCCCCCCCCCCCCCCCCCGUUCUGUGGCUGCUCGGUCUCUGAGGCAGGGAGAGCAGUCAUAUUGCCUCCUUAUCAUCCCUUCACUUCUCAGUGCAUCGAGGCCCCAAGGAAAGCCUGUCAGCAGGGCACCUUCUGGGGGGCCGUUCGCUCCUCGAGCUCUGCCCUCUCCCUGCUCCCUCUUGUGCUGCUCCCAAAAGCCGCUGUGUUACCCUCCCCUUGUCGGCUGGCCCCUCCUGCUGCACCCCCUGACCACAGGGUGCUGGCCUCUCCCGGCCGCAAUCCACCCACAGAGGCUUAAAACCAUGACGCCAGGGCCCCCCAGCGUCCCUGACGCCUGCUUCCCCUCCCUGGACAACAGAUCGAACGAUCAAUUCAUUAAAUCGAAGCCAUGGCCUGGCCGGGCGGGAGGAGGGACCCCUGCAUGUGGCUGAGUCGGCAUCUGUCACUUGUACAUUCACUCGACAAACAUCGGUCUUUUGCCAGACAAAGAGUUGGAACGGACAUUUCUCGGAGGAAGACAUUUGAACGGCCGACAGACAAAUGAACAGAUGCUCAACCUCACUAAUUAGGGAAACACGAAUCCAAACCCCAUGAGACACCAUCCGAUGCCCAUCAGGAUGGCCACUAUCAAAAGACCCGAAAACACCCAGUGCUGGCGAGGAUGUGGAGAAGGGGAGGCCUGUUCCGCCGCUGCUGGGAAGGCGAGCCGGUGGGAGACAGCGUGGAGGGUCCUCAGAGUCGAACACAGAGGGCCCACUCGCCCCCUUCUGGGUCGGUACACGGAGCCGAAGGCAGGGUCUCAAAGGUACUCGCGCACCCGUGUUCACAGCAGUGCUGUUCACGGCAGCCAAGACGUGGGAGCCACCCAAGUGACCACGGUGCACGAUGGCUAAGCGAGACGUGGUCCAUCCAGACGAUGGAAUGGCAUUCGGCCUUGGAAAGGAAGGACGUGCGGCCCCCUGCCACGGCACACACGUGGACCUUGAGGGCACGACGCUACGGGAAACGAGCCGUCCCAAGGGACAAGCCUUGUAGGACCGCACGCGUCUGAGGCACCCGGCCAGAUCCACGGAAAGUAGACGGUGGGCGCCAGGGGCUGGGGGGCUGGGGGGCAGCUUCCGUUCGGAAAGAUGGACAAGUCCUGACGGCGGACGGUGGUGGUGGCUCCGCGCGGCGUGAAGGUGCCUAACGCCUCCGAUCUGUGCGCUUAGAAGUGCUCACGACGGUAGCUUCUCAUGUUGUGUUUUUGCCAUGAUUAAAAGUAAACAUAAUUUUUUAAGAAUCCUUUCCCAGAGACCGGGAACGGCAGACGUGCCCGAGAAGGGGCAGGGUGAAGCAAAAGUGAGCCCGCACAACGGGCCCCAGACGGCCGAGACAGGGCGCAGGCGUGCCCACAAAGCAAGGGGCAGGAGAGGUCAACCUCUCCCCGCGACGCGAGGAGCCGGUGACCUUAGAGGGGAGAAAAUCUCGCAGAUGCGCGGCCUGGGGGGGGCAGGGCACAGCGCCAGACAGAUGACGCCUCGGGCAGGGCAGCUCGGAGCGCGUCCCUCUGGGACGGUCCUGCUGAACGUGCAAAACCAGAACCUGCUGGGGAGAAGCUGCCAGGUGACGUGCCCGAGGGGCGCCGGCCCGGACGCUCCAGACGCGCCCGGG